ensembl:lncRNA novel transcript, antisense to LIPI
UUCCGGAAUCUGGCGCGGCCUUUGUCUCACUUCAGCCAGAGAGCGGGGUUAGGGCUUCAUUGCCUUGUGUCCUCUGCUCCGGGAGACUUCGGUGAUUCUGCCACUCCCUCCGUCGCUCUGUGACCUGCUGGCAUUGAAUGAUUUAUAGCUAAGACUCCAGGACACCCCUGAAGCCGAGAAAUGAAAUCCCAAGUUGACCGUCAAGUCCAACGCUCGCUGCAGACAUCUAGUGGACCCGGCGCUCGCGGACGGAAGCGGACAGACCUAGUUGGAUCCUUAUCCCACCAAUCUGGCCCACCUUUGCUGCCAUCUAACUCCGCUGACCGGCCCACCGUUCCUCCACUGUUCGCUGGUUGACCCGGGCAGCGGAGAGAGGAGGCGGCACCAACAGAAGGCUUCUGCAAAGCUGAGAGCUCCUUUUACCCAUGGAUCAGGAGCAGAGUUUGCAGCUACACUGUCAGGCUGUGUUUGGAUGUUAGCAGUUAGUUUAGCUUUGCGUCUUCAGAGCAAUUGUUCUUAGCUACUUAAAAAAAGAAAAGAAAAGAAAGGAAAAUUUAAAAUUUUCUUCAUUGAUCAUUCAGGAGCAUGUUUAAUUUCCAUGUAUUUGUACAAUUUCAAAAGUUCACCUUGUUGUUGACUUCUAGUUUUAUUCCAUUGUGGUCAGGAAAGAUACUCGAUAUAAUUUCAAUUAUUUUAAAUUUGUUGAGACUUGUUUUGUGGCCUAACAUAUGGUCUAUUCUGGAGAAUGUUUCUUGUGCUGAUGAAAGAAUGUGUUUUUUGCAUCUGUUGGAUGAAAUGUUCUGUAAAUGUCUCUUU